GGAAGGCUGUCUCAGCUCAAGACAGAGUUCAGUUGUAAAGAGCAGCUCUUCAAAAAGCCUGCAGAAGGAACCUGAGGGCCUUCUCAAAUUGUAUAAGCUUCAGGCUCUAUAAAACCUGGAUCUACUCCUAUUUGGUGGUUAAGUCAAAGUUCAGAUUAAAAGAUGUAUACUCCACAUUUCUCACAUUGAAGCAAGAUCUGUAACUCAUUUGUGCUGUUGAUUAAUAAAUUGAUGGUGUAGUCGAAUUGGAUCAUUCAAGGGUCUUCCCGGUAACAGCCUGUAAGACUUCAAAUAAAGGAUCAUGCUGAUACUGGCCUAAGGUGGGAAGCUCUCACAGAAAAUGCCUGGCUUAAAAUACCCCAGCACCAUGGGAAAG